ACCGGCAGCUAGCUCUUUGCCAUGACCAUUGAAGCUAAGCUAAGCGCCUGGUUAGUACCUGGAUGGGAGACCACAUGGGAAAGCUAUGUUGCUGCCAGAA
rnacentral:rRNA from 1 species